UACGGGGGGGGCAAGCGUUGUUCGGAAUUACUGGGCGUAAAGGGCGCGUAGGCGGUCCGAUAAGUCCCGUGUGAAAGCCCCCGGCUCAACUGGGGAACUGCACGGGAAACUGACGGACUUGAGUUCGGGAGAGGGAAGCGGAAUUCCGGGUGUAGCGGUGAAAUGCGUUGAUAUCCGCAGGAACACCGGUGGCGAAGGCGACUCACUGGGUCUUUACUGACGCUGAUGCACGAAAGCUAGGGGAGCAAACGGG
rnacentral:rRNA from 1 species